UCAAUGCACUGCUUUUUUAGAGGGUGAAGCGUGUCAAACAAGGAUGAGGGUCGUUUGGCCGGCGGAGACGCCGACGAGGAGGAGGAUUGCUCCGCCGUGCGACGGCGGCGGAGGGUGGAGUUCCAGUGAUUCUUGAUGGCGUUGUCGGUGCGGCCGGGAAGGAGGCGUGAGAUGGUGGCCCACUUGUUUCCGUGAAUGGCGUGCGCCUUAAUGAUCAUCUUGUCUUCCGCCGGAGUGAACGGACGGUGUUGCACUUCCGGACUCAGCUGGUUGCACCACCGCAGACGACACGACUUGCCGGAGCGGCCGGGAAUGCCGGCGCUUAUGACGGACCAGUUGCGUGCCCCGUGCUCAUUCACCAGUUUCAGCAACGUCGCAUCCUCCUGAGGACUCCAAGAACCCUUCACGCGAUUGUCGCCGCCGGUCAUCGUCGUCAUCGCCUUUCACCUGUUCGAGAAAAUGCCAGAGAAAAGACACAAAGGAAGGUUUCUGGUUCCAAUCUGUUCCACGACCUCUUGGUGUGUGGGUGUUUUUGGUUUGGACUUAGGUUUCUCCGAGAGUAUUGAGGGUUUAUGAAGAGAGUGGGUGAUGAGAAAAGAUUAAUUAAUAAUGGAGGAAGUUAUAACUUCCUCUUUUAAAUAACGCCUUUUCCUAGAAACUCUAGCAAGGAAGGUGGUUUGUUUGAUGGUGUUCCUGUUAUGAUUCUUUCGUCAUUAUUUUAUAACGUCUCACGGUUUGUUUCAUUAAUUUAAAAUGUGUGUUGUUUUUAACUGUAGUUGGAUAGAGAUGAUGAUUUCCAAGAGUGUGGCAGUUAGGAUGGAGUACUCAUUCUAUAAAUGUAAUUUUUGACUUUCUAUUUAUUUGUUUUAUAACGGGAAUUAAUUGUUAUUUAUUAUCAUAAUCUUGACGUAGUCAGGGAGACCAACUAAACUGAUGGGAAGUCAAAAUGAACAUGAAGGUGUAACUGCCAUCGGUUAUAAUAUAUUUAAGAGUGGUUAUAUGUA